GAUUUGCUGACUGCUCCUCUCACCACUCAAAAUUUGUGAUGGAACAGGACCAUCAAGCCUAUGAAGAGGUUGAUCACUAUGCUAAGAGGAAAGCAGCCAAUAUCUGUGCUUCCACCGGUGCUAGAGUUGUCAAGAGAAAAAUAGAAGCAAGCAGGAUCCCACCUAAUGGUUUAGUCAGAAGAACAGGCAAGGAACAGAAAGUAUCUACACAUGAAUUUCGCCAGUUAACCAAGAACGAGUUGCCCCCAAAGGUGUCUGCUAGGAAUGCCAUCAACGGAGAUCAUUUUCAUAGGCCUUUAAGUAGCAGAUACAACGAUCUGCCUGAGAAACCUCUGCGCACCAGAGAAGAGGAUGAGUGCUCGGUGGCUAGCUGCAACGCUAAUUACUCAGAGCACAGUACCAGUGAUGAUGACCAUGAAUCAGUCAGAACGGGCAGUUGUUUCCUGAUGAUGUUAUGUCUGCAUGUGAGUAUGGGCAGGAGACUGAGGACGCCUAUGGCUCUGGUUUGUUUCUGAACAUCCAUGAGCUAGAGCUGCGAGCAUAUCGAUCAACCGUCAGAGCUCUCCAUGCUGCAGGACCUCUGACGUGGGAGCAAGAGUCGCUCCUGACGAACCUCCGCCUCUCGCUCAACAUCUCGAACGAGGAACACUUGCUUCAGUUGAGGCAUCUCCUAUCUUUUUGAAAAUUUUAAAAAAUCAAUAUUUUUUUGAACACCUGUAGAUUACCUCCAACUCGCAGAGAAUCUCCGCAGGCUUGUAGCGUGCGUAACUCGAGGGUGUUGUAUAUAGAGAAGAGUCCAGAGAAAUUAACAUGUAGCUGUUGUACUUCAUCAGAACUUUGUUGCUAGGAGUACAUGAGUCUUGCAAUUUUUUUAAAACUUUAGUGCUCAUUUUAUA